rnacentral:rRNA from 1 species
UGCGACCCCAGGUCAGGCGGGACCACCCGCUGAAUUUAAGCAUAUCAAUAAGCGGAGGAGAAGAAACUUACAAGGAUUCCCCUAGUAACGGCGAGCGAACCGGGAUCAGCCCAGCU